rnacentral:rRNA from 1 species
UACGUAGGGUGCAAGCGUUGUCCGGAAUUAUUGGGCGUAAAGAGCUCGUAGGCGGCUUGUCGCGUCGAAUGUGAAAACCCGGGGCUCAACUCCGGGCCUGCAUUCGAUACGGGCAGACUAGAGUUCGGUAGGGGAGACUGGAAUUCCUGGUGUAGCGGUGAAAUGCGCAGAUAUCAGGAGGAACACCGAUGGCGAAGGCAGGUCUCUGGGCCGAUACUGACGCUGAGGAGCGAAAGCGUGGGGAGCGAACAGG